GCUUGUUGCUUUUGUGCUAGAUUCUCUGUCGUGGGGUAUAAGAAGAGCGAUGAGCGACGCUGAUAGAUGAGCUCCCUUGAGGUUGACUUUAAACCUCAUGUCUGAUGUGCUGGUUAUCAUGAGAGACUUUCUCUGAAAUCAUCCAUCUGUGUUCUGUGGAGUGAAAAAUGAUGAACAGCUCUGUACCUGUCUGGGAUGCUCAGUUUGCCACUUUUUACAAAAUCCGACAAUGCUUAAUAUAUUCCAAGGGUGCAGGACAGAUGAAGAUUAUAAAGACGGGAAAGUGAAGAAGAAAGAAGGUUACGAAGAGCUCAAUGCUGCUUCUGCAGCCCAGCCUACAGGCUCACAGCUGGGAGGCACUUCUGCUCUGCCCUGGGCCUUUCUUGGAGGAGUC